CCUUGCAGUGAUAGCACUGAGGGAAGCCGGUAGACCUAGAGGCCACUACCCAGUUCCCCUCCAUGUGAUUUGUUGAAUUCCAGAAAGCAGUUGGUGUAGAUAACUGAAACUGCAGAAAACUGUGAAUAAAAGGGAACAACUGUACCCUUACAACCACCACUCUAAUCAAGAUGUAUAACAGCUUCAUCAGUUCAACACUGAAACUGGACAUUGUAGAAGAUGAAUUAUGAGAGUGAUUUAUGAAAGAAAGACAAUGGAGAAUUGCAAUCGAUGGAGACAUUCAAAGAAAAGACUUUGGCACUACAUCAAAAGAGAGUAGAAUAAGUAGUCUUUGCUUAUACAUUUUAAAUGAAAAUAAAUGUUUAUCAUACAUAUUUGCUGUUUUUUAAACUGUAAUUCAAUUACUAAGGCUGAAGGGAAGAAUGGAUGUUGGAUAAAGAACUUUCGAUUCUGUCA